rnacentral:pre_miRNA from 1 species
AUCAUCUGGGCAUCUUGUUAAAAUACAGAUUCUGAUUCAGUAAGUCUGGGAUGGAGGCUGAGAUUCUGCAUUUCUAACAAGCUUUCAGGUGAUGCUCA